rnacentral:rRNA from 1 species
ACGGGGGGUGCAAGCGUUGUUCGGAAUCAUUGGGCGUAAAGCGCGCGCAGGCGGCUUGGUAAGUCAGAUGUGAAAUCCCUGGGCUUAACCCAGGAAGUGCAUUUGAUACUGCCUCGCUAGAGUACGGGAGAGGAAAGUGGAAUUCCUGGUGUAGAGGUGAAAUUCGUAGAUAUCAGGAGGAACACCGGUGGCGAAGGCGACUUUCUGGCCGGAUACUGAGGCUGGGGGGCGGGGGCGUGGGGAGCAAACAG